UUAGAGGAUGAUAACAGUGCUGGCUAUGUUAUGUGGUGUAGUAGUUAGAGGAUGAGAGCACUCCUGGCUAUGUUAUGUGGUGUAGUAGUUAGAGGAUGUUGUGUGUGAUGAUUGUGAGAAGCUAUAAAAAUUAGACAGUCACAAGAUGGGGACUUCCAUUUUGUAUUUUUUAAAAUUUAACCUUUAUUUCAGCUAAAUAAACAAAUAGGCCUAUGGCACAUCAAGGGAACUGUAGCCUACUGUUCAGAUGGGUUAAAUGGAAACUAAAAUGUUGCAGACUGUAGCAUUUCUUGCAGUAAAAGGAUACACCAAAUGUAGGCAACAUUAUAACUCGGGAACAGGAGUGGAAUAAUGUUCAGUUAAAAAAUACAUCACCUUUACAGACGGUCCCUAACUGUGGUUGAAAUACUCUCAGCUGUUAUGAUUCUGAUGAAGAUAGCACCUUUACAGACGGUCCCUGUCUUUAUCAGCAUCAUAACAGCUGAUCGUAUUUCAACCACAUAAAAUAUGCAUCCAAGCUGACCUGAAAUCACAUCAGAAACAUGUAGGGUUGUUUUCACUGCUUUCUAUUUCCUUACAACCGGUCAAACUGAUGUUAUUUGGAAAGUUAUUGCAUUUUCUCCCCGGUCCCUAAACGUCUUUGCUCCGUGAAAGAAGAGAUGACAGAGAACUUUACCGAUGUCAACUAAAUGUAUGCAUUCAUUCUACAUAUUUAUGAUAUUAUUCAGGUGAGCAAAGGUUUAUUUAUUCUUCUAGGGCAACAUGUAAUGACAAGAGAAGCGGCACGUAUCUAAUUAUAGACAAGUUGCAAAUAGCCAAACAAAAUGUCAAAUUAUAAGCAGAAACACAACAGCGGGUUAGGGUCGGGUGCGGCCCACAGCGGGUUAGGGUCGGGUGCGGGCCACAGCGGGUUAGGGUCGGGUGCGGGCCACAGCGGGUUAGGGUCGGGUGCGGGCCACAGCGGGUUAGGGUCGGGUGCGGGCCACAGCGGGUUAGGGUCGGGUGCGGGCCACAGCGGGUUAGGGUCGGGUGCGGGCCACAGCGGGUUAGGGUCGGGCGCGGGCCACAGCGGGUUAGGGUCGGGCGCGGGCCACAGCGGGUUAGGGUCGGGCGCGGGC
ensembl:lncRNA